GUCCCCUGUCACAUGCACUGUGGCCAGAUGGGGGCCAGAGACCAGGAACAAGACCUGCAGCUAAGAGGAGGAAGAGAAACCACAUCAGAAAGACAGAAAUAGCCGGGUCCCCGAAGAAGCCAGCCCAAACCUCAGCUGGAGCUCACAAGCUCGACCUGCUCUGCCUUCAGCACAUUGGAAGCCAGAUGACGCUGGAGAGUGGUUCAGACCAACGCUGAUGGACUGCGUUCCUGCCGGGAGGCUCAGGAAGGGUUGCUGCAGAAAACACGCUCAGGAAUGGGGCACAUCUCAUUAUUCGUCGGGUGGCCAGCGUCCCCCGGCCACCUUAGUUUGGUGAGCAGGGAGCAAUGGCCGGCGUUCCAGCAGUGCCACAGUGAAGCCCCCCGAAGGCAGGCUCAGACAGGCACCCAGGACAAGCUCGACACCAUAGCUUCAGAGGCCACAGCUCAGUCUUCCAGAAGAAUCUCUAGGCCCUGAGAAGCCCUGAUGGCAUCCUGGGGCGCUCCCAACACAGAGGUCAGCUCCAGCAUCACCCAAAGGGGUCGCCCCAUGCAAAUGUACCCCUGGGACACCAAAGGCAAGUGGGAGAUGCUCCCAGGUGGGGGUGGGGGUGUAAAGUGCGUUCUCAUCUUUAAAAUGAAUGCAAGGGCACCUGCUUCCCUGCAAACUGCCUGGCACAGAGAAGGGAGGGGCCUCAUGAAUGCAUAUUAUCAUUAAUAAAAGCGUUGU